rnacentral:rRNA from 1 species
UACGGAGGGGGCUAGCGUUGCUCGGAAUCACUGGGCGUAAAGGGCGCGUAGGCGGCCAUUCAAGUCGGGGGUGAAAGCCUGUGGCUCAACCACAGAAUUGCCUUCGAUACUGUUUGGCUUGAGUUUGGUAGAGGUUGGUGGAACUGCGAGUGUAGAGGUGAAAUUCGUAGAUAUUCGCAAGAACACCAGUGGCGAAGGCGGCCAACUGGACCAACACUGACGCUGAGGCGCGAAAGCGUGGGGGAGCAAACAGG